UACGAAGGCAGCAGUGGGGAAUAUUGCACAAUGGGCGAAAGCCUGAUGCAGCUAUGCCGCGUGUAUGAAGAAGGCCUUAGGGUUGUAAAGUACUUUCAUCGGGGAGGAAAAAACAAAACUAAUAAUUUUAUUUCUUGACGUUACCCGAAAAAGAAGCACCGGCUAACUCCGUGCCAGCAGCCGCGGUAAUACGGAGGGUGCUAGCGUUAAUCAGAAUUACUGGGCGUAAAGAGCACGUAGGUGGUUUUUUUAAGUCAGAUGUGAAUCCCUGGGCUUAACCUAGGAACUGCAUUUUGAAACUGAAAUACUAGAGUAUCGUAGAGGGAGGUAGAAUUCUAGGUGUAGCGGUGAAAUGCGUAGAUAUCUGGAGGAAUACCUGUGGCGAAAGCGGCCUCCUAAACGAAUACUGACACUGAGGUGCGAAAGCGUGGGGAGCAAACAGGGAUUAGAUACC
rnacentral:rRNA from 1 species